GCCCGGUUAGCUCAAUCAGUAGAGCGUGAGACUCUUGUGCGUACGCGGUCUCAUGGUUUUGGGCUUGAACGCCGCAUCGGACU